ACUCGUCAGUGGCGGACGGGUGAGUAACGCGUAGGAAUCUAUCCUUGGAAUGGGGGACAACCGUGGGAAACUACGGCUAAUACCNCAUGAUGCCUGAGGGCCAAAGACGAAAGUCGUUUGAGGAGGAGCCUGCGUCUGAUUAGGUAGUUGGUGGGGUAAAGGCCUACCCAAGCCUACGAUCAGUAGCUGGUCUGAGAGGAUGAUCAGCCACAUUGGGACUGAGACACGGCCCAAACUCCUACGGGAGGCAGCAGUGGGGAAUAUUGGACAAUGGGCGCAAGCCUGAUCCAGCAAUGCCGCGUGGGUGAAGAAGGUCUUCGGAUUGUAAAGCCCUUUUGGCGGGGACGAUGAUGACGGUACCCGCAGAAUAAGCUCCGGCUAACUUCGUG
rnacentral:rRNA from 1 species